rnacentral:misc_RNA from 1 species
GAUGAAGAACGUAGUAAAAUGCGAUAAGUAAUGUGAAUUGCAGAAUUCAGUGAAUCAUCGAAUCUUUGAACGCACAUUGCGCCCCCUGGUAUUCCGGGGGGCAUGCCUGUCCGAGCGUCAUUGCUGCCCUCAAGCACGGCUUGUGUGUUGGGCCUCCGUCCUCCUCCCGGGGGACGGGCCCGAAAGGCAGCGGCGGCACCGCGUCCGGUCCUCGAGCGUAUGGGGCUUCGUCACCCGCUCUUGUAGGCCCGGCCGGCGCUUGCCGACACAUCAAUCUUUUUUCCAGGUUGACCUCGGAUCAGGUAGGGAUACCCGCUGAACUUAAGCAUAUCAAUAAGCGGAGGA